GACGAACGCUGGCGGCGUGCUUAACACGUGCAAGUCGAACGAUGAAGCGGUGCUUGCACCGUGGAUUAGUGGCGAACGGGUGAGUAAUACGUGAGUGACCUACCUUUGACUCUGGGAUAAGCCUGGGAAACUGGGUCUAAUACCGGAUACGACCAAUCUCUGCAUGGGGUGUUGGUGGAAAGCGUUAUGGAGUGGUUUUAGAUGGGCUCACGGCCUAUCAGCUUGUUGGUGAGGUAAUGGCUUACCAAGGCGACGACGGGUAGCCGGCCUGAGAGGGUGACCGGCCACACUGGGACUGAGACACGGCCCAGACUCCUACGGGAGGCAGCAGUGGGGAAUAUUGCACAAUGGGCGCAAGCCUGAUGCAGCGACGCCGCGUGAGGGAUGACGGCCUUCGGGUUGUAAACCUCUGUUAGCAUCGAAGAAGCGAAAGUGACGGUAGGUGCAGAGAAAGCGCCGGCUAACUACGUGCCAGCAGCCGCGGUAAUACGUAGGGCGCGAGCGUUGUCCGGAAUUAUUGGGCGUAAAGAGCUUGUANGCGGUUGGUCGCGUCUGCUGUGAAGGCCGGGGCUUAACUCCGGUUUUGCAGUGGGUACGGGCUAACUAGAGUGCAGUAGGGGAGACUGGAAUUCCUGGUGUAGCGGUGGAAUGCACAGAUAUCAGGAGGAACACCGAUGGCGAAGGCAGGUCUCUGGGCUGUAACUGACGCUGAGAAGCGAAAGCAUGGGGAGCGAACAGGAUUAGAUACCCUGGUAGUCCAUGCCGUAAACGUUGGGCACUAGGUGUGGGGGACAUUCCACGUUUUCCGCGCCGUAGCUAACGCAUUAAGUGCCCCGCCUGGGGAGUACGGCCGCAAGGCUAAAACUCAAAGGAAUUGACGGGGGCCCGCACAAGCGGCGGAGCAUGCGGAUUAAUUCGAUGCAACGCGAAGAACCUUACCAAGGCUUGACAUGCAUUAGAUCGCGUCAGAGAUGGCGUUUCCCUUCGGGGCUGGUGUACAGGUGGUGCAUGGUUGUCGUCAGCUCGUGUCGUGAGAUGUUGGGUUAAGUCCCGCAACGAGCGCAACCCUCGUUCUAUGUUGCCAGCGGUUCGGCCGGGGACUCAUAGGAGACUGCCGGGGUCAACUCGGAGGAAGGUGGGGAUGACGUCAAAUCAUCAUGCCCCUUAUGUCUUGGGCUUCACGCAUGCUACAAUGGCCGGUACAGAGGGUUGCGAUACUGUGAGGUGGAGCUAAUCCCUUAAAGCCGGUCUCAGUUCGGAUUGGGGUCUGCAACUCGACCCCAUGAAGUCGGAGUCGCUAGUAAUCGCAGAUCAGCAACGCUGCGGUGAAUACGUUCCCGGGCCU
rnacentral:rRNA from 1 species